rnacentral:ribozyme from 1 species
UGUCGUAUUAAUAGUUGAUAGUGUAGUGGAUCCGAAGCCUUCAGAAGGUUAACAUAGGCACUCCAAUCCCUACUCCUAGUGCAUCUUCGUAGUUCAGAACGGUAACAUGUUUUUCAAUUAUCAAACCUUGGUUAUCCGGGGAAACUCAUCUCCUGAAGAGGAUUGUCUGUUCAUCAUGUUAAGA